GGUCCUGUGGCCCAAUGGAUAAGGCGUCGGUCUCCUAAACCGAAGAUUGUGGGUUCGAGUCCCAUCAGGAUCA
rfam:Bursaphelenchus xylophilus, Ka4C1 (inbred line), WGS project CADV01000000 data, contig: scaffold00713.114